CCAUGUUGGUGACUCCCCCCUGGGCGUCUGACCCCACUAUCCGUCAGGUUGAGGAGACCCUGGCGCCCAGUUCCAGUUUCAGUCGCUCACUCUUCAGCAGCGAACUAUGUUACAGCGCAUCAAACAGAUGAGACCAGACCAUGGAUGGAGACCAGAGGGAUGCAUGGAUAAAGUCUGGAGGAAAGAGAUCGCGUCAUCACCCAUUAGGACCACCCAACCCUGCCUCUCUCCUCCUCGGUUAUACACGUGGACUGUACUGCCACUUGAUGGAGAUGCCUGUGUAGCUAAAGCAGGAUGAAGAUGAUGGAACCUAACUGUUGUCAUCAUGAUGCUAAUGCUGGACCUGUCAGAUGUCUGUAAAAAGUAUCUUUGUUGACGGCUGAUAGAUGAUGACUGGACCGUCGAGCUGAACACGCCUGGGAAGAAUCGCUGUGUGACACGUCACAGCAGCCAUCAUGAGAAGAUUCUGACAAAAACAGAUACUGUUUGCAAGAGGAGCAGAAAUGAAUACAAUUAUGACCAAUUUUAACAUAUUAUAUUUUACAACAGUGUUAAAAACACUCAAAGGAAAUGGCUAAAUGCGUAGUACAAUUCUGGAUGGUUCUGAGCAGGAGAGAGAGAUUCCUCCAUGAGAAUGCCACAAGAGUGAUGAAUCAGAACAUGUACCAUCCUGUCAGCAUGAAUGAAGAAAUAAGAAGAAAACUGUGUGCCCUCUGUUGUGUUCCAAGUGUUUUUUAGACUCAUCCAGUACUUUCAUUUGAAGAAUCAACUCUACUACCACCUGCUAGAGAUGCCCUGAAGCUAAAACUGAAUGAAGAUGAAGACCCUAACUGUUGUCAUCUUGAUGCACAUACAUCUAUCAGAAGGAACUGCCAGAUGUCUGAUGUCUUACUGACCGUGCCUGUGAAGAACCGCUGUUAAGAUGCCACCCGAAGACUAUGUGAAGUUACUGUGGAAACACGUCGAGCAUGGAUUGCAAAGUGAGUUGACUGUGGUGAAGAGAAGAUCUUUAUGUCAGUUAAGAUUUCUGCAAGACAGCCAAGAUCAGAGUGACCCCUACCUACCUAGUUAUGGAUGGUUAUGGACAGAAGAGUGAGAUGCCUCCAUAACAAGAACCCAGAUUCUUGAGCCAGAACCAUGCUGUCAUCAUGAGUGAAGAAAUGAGAAAAACACAUUGUGCCCUCUGUUGUCUUCCAAGUUUAUUGCAGAGGCUGCCCCUUAUGGAAAAGCUCCUUCUGGCAAGAGCCAACUUGGAAGAAAAGAUAACUACAAUUAAAAAAAUAAUAAUAAAAAAAAAAAAGGCUCAUGGAUGAAUUUCAUGGGGGACUGCUCUGAGGAGAGGCAACAAUACUGCCAAACAACAACACAAGAGGCAUAUUGAGACCAGGUUUAACACCGCCACAAACCAUAGGCAGGCCUGGGAGGGCAUCAGGGCCAUCACAGACUAUAAGACAACUGGCUCUACAGCAUCAGGAACGCGGCCAGACUAAACAGAGUGGUGGGUCUUCUACUCCACCACGUUGCUGUCUAUGUCAUGGGUCCCGGCCUGCUUCCGAGCAGCCAU